GACGUUGCUACACAUACCCGAUGGUCCAGACUGACUAACUACUCGCUAACUUUUCCUACACACCACACGCUAAACGAAUGGAUGUAUAAAGUGAGCGAGGAAAGUGUAAAAAAACCGGAGGUGGGGGACAGUAAGAUUGUGUUGUCUCUUCGAUCCAACAAGGAGGAGGCGGAGGAGUAGAAGGUUGAUGAGGAGGAGCCGGAGGAGGAGGUGGAGCUGGACAGAAAAGGAGUUGGAGGGAAUGCCCGGGUGACAGUUCUCCCACUUUGUUUUUCCUCCUCGAAACGGACCAAGGCCAUGAUGUUCAAUCUCCUUCAUCGACCGGUGUCAUCAAAAGGGCUGCCAAUAUCCUGUCCUUCUUAAUUCGUGUGAUCCCAAUUCCCAUAAUUGCCCGGGUCUGCUUGACGAGCCAUCUAGCGCAGCUGCGCUGAACGACAAUAUCAUACCAUGGGAGUUUUUUGCCGCUAUGCAAUUGCCGCUAAAUGCUUCAAUCACUGGAUCCAUUGUCUCUCUGACGAAGGCUGUGUGUACAUUCACACACCGGGGCCUGAUUAGGAUAGGCUCGCUGUUGACUCGGACAGAUGGAGUCGCUUCAUCCCACGCCACUCCUAGACCCAGGAUGGAGCCGCUUCAUCCCACGCCACUCCUAGACCCAGGAUGGAGCCGCUUCAUCCCACGCCACUCCUAGACCCAGGAUGGAGCCGCUUCAUCCCACGCCACUCCUAGACCCAGGAUGGGAGAUUAAGUGGGAGGGGCUGAUGCGCAUGCUUAGUUACUAAUAACAAUGCAAAUUUGAAUGGAUAUUUAUAUUAAUUAAAGCCUUCACAAAUUACAAGGCACGAGUAGCAAUUAGGUGAUGCUUAUUUGAGGAUACAACCGUUAAAUGAGGCUUUAUUGAUUGAUGGGAAUGUAAGUGGCAAUUCACUAACACUGGGCUUUAGCUACAUGUUUGCAAUGUAUGCUUUCAUUAUAUAAUAACGUUUGGUUUAUUUGGGAUGGUUAGAAAGGACCGCACUUAACAGUUACCGUACAUAACAGUUUCAACAAGUUGCUCCUGUCUUCUUGGACUCCAAUUUAAAGUGUGGCUGUUGAAGAGGGCCGAACCUGUUAAUUAAUUCAAGUCUGCAGUGGAUUUCGAAUUCAGGAGUUUGGGUUCAGUUUCAAAGAGUUUGGUACUGGACGGGCACUCUCUUCUUUUGAAAGUUGAGUUCUUGUUGUGUGUGCCGGUUUGCGCGCGCGCGUGUGUGCGUGUGUGUGCGUGUGCGUGUGUGCAUUUUAAAGUCAGGUUUGUCAUUUUUGCCAAAAGUAACAAUCUCAGAAAUGUCUUUGUAAUUGUACUUUUUCAACAAAGUUAUAGGAAGUAACUCUUCUUGUACAAUUUAAUGAGCCAGGUAUUUUUGUGCCAUUUCUUACCUUUUCCUUUCCUCCAGUCCAUUCUGUGGGAGAUACGGACGCUGUCGCACACUGCUUUGGUUUCCUCCCUGCUCCACUGUAUCUCCCAUGCAGACAGAAGACUUGUAAUAUCGUUGUGCCAGAGUUGAAUGUAAGGAAUAAAUCUCAGCGCAAGCUCUCGGAGAACAAUGGGGAGCCAUUCCAGGGCCCCUAAAUCAAACUCAAUAUUCAUGAGCUUAGUUACUUUGGUUUUGUGCACUGACAAUCGCUGUACACUUUUAAAGAGAGUCUGGCUGCAAAUCAAGCAGAUGAUUGAAACAGAUGCCUUAAUGAUCAAUAAUUUCUGUGGCUGGCUGUCUGUAAGAUUCACAUUUGAAUAACUUGUCGUUCCCAUCGUGGCACUAAACCUCAUUUCAAUAUUUCAAAAGUAAUAUAUUCAAUAACAAAUAUCUGUCUUUGAACCACAUUCAGCUGCUAAAAAGUAGAAUUACUGUGUUUGUCUUGCUGUGGUUAGUUUACUUUUGAAAACUUUUCUCGAUAGAUUCACAAAUUCAGAUUUAUUUUGGGGGUGGGAAAUGCAGCGAUAUACGCUCCAUCCCCUGUCUGUAGUGAUUUGGAGUAACGGGUCGAGACAAUCCUAAUAAGCUUUUUCAAAUUCUCGCGUCCCAUUAGUUCAACCGAAGCAAUUAAACGUCUCUUCCGAAGCAAUAAAGUAAUACAGCCCGCUACAUCCGUGCUUCGUGGACUUCGCCCUGUUAAAAACAAUGUGUUUGUAUUUAUUUUUUGGGUCGCAAUACGAUCAGAACCAAAAUCUGUGCUUAUGCUUGCUUUUUCCUUUCGAUGUGGCAUGAGGACAACCGACCUGAGUGACUGGUGUGCAGCAUUCCUCCUAUUUGGGACCUCUCUUAAGCUCUUACAUUUAAUUCUGGGGCGCGCUGCAUUCCUGCCGACGCGAUCUGCUGUGGACUCCCAUCUCAAGUGAUUAAAAGUAAAGGAGAGUGUGGGAGUCUGCUGAGUUUGAGAAGUAGUUAUGUCCAAGUUAUGUUGGUUGCUGCCAAUACCCAACAGCAGCUACAGCAAGGAGCUGAUAAAAUAAGAAUUGUGAAAGUAUAAUAUUGUGAAGGAUCGGGGUGUGAAUAUAUUACAGUUGGACGAGCUGUGGGGGGUGCAUGUCAACAACAAACUAAAGCGGCUUGGCAUUAUUAGAGAAGACAUAGGAGCGAUGGAGCCCACACUAUCCAUAUUCAUAACGCAGCUCUUCCAAUAUCUGCAACCGACUCGUGUUAAAAAAGAUCUCUCUGGCGGUUCUGGCACAUAAUCCUCGGACAGAUCAAUCAUUGUGUUUGUCUGCUUGAGCUGCCAGUCCGGUCAUUAGUGAAAGGGACGUGCAACACCCCUGGGUGCUGCAGGAUCCACCUUCAGAGGAGGGUAAUAGGCCGCAGGCAUUCGCAUCUUUCAAGUCCUGACUCAUCGUGAUGACAUUCCGCCGACGAUUUAUCCUUCCCGAAUAACCUGCAUUCCUUUUGGAAUUGCAGAAUUUGAAAUUCAUGGGAAGGUUGUUAACCUCUCUGGAUUGGCCGUCUCGUUUUCGAGAGACUCCAAUAUGGCGUUCCCUGUGAGGAGCCGGGAGGAUAUUCAAUAUUGUUUACUGAGGAUCUUGUUUGUGGACGGUAUUAGCUCCUCAUUUUGCAUUUCCAUUAGGAAAUAUGGAUUUAUUCUGAAUUCUCACAGCUGGAUAAUCCGUAAUUGCUUCGGCGUUCACUUCUCCAAAAAUUCCCCUCAGUCUGCUUGAUUGAAAUAUUAAAAUGUGCUUAGUGCUGUUAAAUGAUGAAUGUGUGUGUGUGUGUGUGUGUGUGUGUGUGUGUGUGUGUGUGUGUGUGUGUGUGUGUGUGUGUGUGUGUGUGUGUGUGUGUGUGUGUGUGUUUGUGUAUAUGUGUGUGUGUGCAUUCGAGUGUGCACUUUGCAUGUGUAUAUGUGCUUAUGUGUCUGUGUGUCGUAAUGUUGAAAGUUGUGUGCAUGUGUGUUUGUAUCAGGGGUUUGUAUUUGAGUGUGCUGGGUGUAGAUGUAUGCGUGUGGGGGUUGUAUGUGAAUCAUUGAUAUUAUUAUUAUUAUUGUGUGAUAGUGAUUUGUCAUCAAUGAGCACGGAUCCCCCUAGCGUUUCACCUAUACUUCACGACCGCCCUCUCCUUCGCCCGCACUUCUCUGACUCAUUUAAAGUACAAUAAGUAAUCUGCCGGUAGCCAGAAACUCAACCUAUCUCCUAUCGUUCCAAUCGCCUCCUCCUCUCAGGCUGACAGCUCCCGAAUAUGCACAGCUGGCACAUUGUUCACUGUAGACUGUGUGUGUGUGUGUGUGUGUGUGUGUGUGUGUGUGUGUGUGUGUGUGUGUGUGUGUGUGUGUGUGUGUGUGUGUGUGUGUGUGUGUGUGUGUGUGUGUGUGUGUGUGUGUGUGUGUGAGAGAGCCCUGCAGUGUAUGUCUUCUUUCUGAGAGUCUGUGUUGGAGAACAGACUCGGGCAAAAAUGGGCACUUGGGCACUUUCCUCAUCUUUGAUUCCCGGCACCUGACCCAAAGCGACAGAGCUAGGGCGAAUUAAAUAAACAUACGGUGCACCUUGUUUGUACAGUCGGUGCACGGUGUGCAGAUAUGUGGUAUUCCUCUGUGGGCUCGUUUGUGUAUUU